GCAUGUGGCUUAAUUUGACUCAACGCGGGAAAUCUUACCGGGUCCGGACACACUGAGGAUUGACAGGCAAUAUUAAUUUCGCUCCGGCGAUUUUAUGUUAAAUAUGCUAGUCCUUUCAUGAUUAUGUGAUAGGUGGUGCAUGGCCGUUCUUAGUUCGUGGAGUGAUCUGUCUGCUUAAUUGCGUUUCACUAAGGGCCUAUAAUUUAACGUGUGUUGCGGCACUUUGACCCCUCUUCGCGGAGCGUGCGUCUUAGCUUGUUUAGCUCACACAAUUAGGUCCUGAAAGCAACGAACGUGACCGCAACCUCUUGUUGCCUUUAUACCAAACACAGUCUGACCUUUCUCUGAAAGGGCUACCGUGAAAAAAGGCUUUUUAAACUAGAGGGACCGCUGUUACUUUCUUAAACCAGAGGAAGGUUGCGGCAAUAACAGGUCUGU
rnacentral:rRNA from 1 species